rnacentral:rRNA from 1 species
UACGUAGGGUGCGAGCGUUGUCCGGAAUUAUUGGGCGUAAAGGGCUCGUAGGCGGUUUGUCGCGUCGGGAGUGAAAACACUGGGCUUAACUCAGUGCUUGCUUCCGAUACGGGCAGACUAGAGGUAUGCAGGGGGAGAACGGAAUUCCUGGUGUAGCGGUGAAAUGCGCAGAUAUCAGGAAGAACACCCGUGGCGAAAGCGGCUCUCUGGGACGGUACUGACGCUGAGACGCGAAAGCGUGGGGAGCGAACAGG